GAUGAAGAACGUAGCGAAAUGCGAUAAGUAAUGUGAAUUGCAGAAUUCAGUGAAUCAUCGAAUCUUUGAACGCACAUUGCGCCCGCCAGUAUUCUGGCGGGCAUGCCUGUUCGAGCGUCAUUACAACCCUCAGGCCCCCGGGCCUGGCGUUGGGGAUCGGCGGAGCCCCCCGUGGGCACACGCCGUCCCCCAAAUGCAGUGGCGGACCCGAAGGCCCUCUCCUUUGCGCAGUAGCAUCAGCCUCGCAUUGGGAUCCCUCGGCGUCCUGCCUCUAAACCCCCCACAAGUCCGCUCCGGCGGCACCAAGGUUGACCUCGGAUCAGGUAGGAAUACCCGCUGAACUUAAGCAUAUCAAUAAGCGGAGGA
rnacentral:misc_RNA from 1 species